rnacentral:rRNA from 1 species
CGUUCCCGGGUCUUGUACACACCGCCCGUCACACCAUGGGAGCGGGUUUCACCAGAAGUGGGUAGCUUAACCGGUAAGGAGGGCGCCUACCAACGGUGGGAUUCGUGACUGGGGUG